GCAAAAUAAAAAAAUUGCCUUUUUCAAAUUUUAUAGUUUACCAUGAAACUUUACUCAAACAUAAAAAGUGGGAAUUUCAAUAUUAAGAAAGUGUUCUCAAAUUAUCUUCCACUUUUUAUCAAACACGUAACAUCAACUGUAAAAUUCUUUCUUCCUCUUCUAACUUCCAGUUAUCAAACAUACUCUUAUCAAACACACUACUAAGGGCAUAGCUUUCUAUGCAUUUCUGCAUAAAAUUUAUAUGCUUCCCCCAUCCAACUGUCUAUUAUGAAUGGACCUUGAAAUGACCCUUAUCACAAUGUCAUAUCUCUAGACUAUAAUUUUAAUUGUUGUUUUGCAAACCAUUUUGAUACCAAAUUUUCAUCAUCUACUUCUCUUUUUAGUAAAAAAAAUAUUCUUAAUAAAAUAAAAUGACCAAAAUAUCUCUAAAAGUUUCAAGAAGUAUUUUGGUCAUUAUAUUUU
rnacentral:lncRNA from 1 species